UUCAAAAUGAUCUUCCACAAUCAACCCUUUCGUGGAGCUAAAGAAAACGAACACUCUGCAAAAGUGCAACUGCUAUUUGCAGGGCGCAAACACAAAGCACCAGUCAUAGCAGGAUGGGAACAAUGGCAUGCCAUUGGAACCACCGGAAAAUACUGCUUGGAGGAAGCCAGCAUGACCCCAAGGACACUGCAACACACCUUGCUACAAUCGGUUUCUGAUUGUGAUGACACCACCUCUUGGCUUAAUGAACCUAUUAGCUGAAGCAUGGGGUCAGGCACUACUAGAUAGGAGGUCUUAAAGCAGAAUGGGCCAUCCAGUUUAGAACCUAUGCCACUACUAGCAAGGUAGUCAAGUGCUGAGAAAUCCCUCCUGUGGCAGUCUUGCUCAAAUCCAGUUUCUGAAUCUAUAUAACAACAACAAUUGGGUUUUCAAUCAUACCACCAUCUACUCCUCCUUAAGCCUGCUGCCUUUAAAUGCAUUUAACUCCCAUUGAAGUCUUAAUAAACUGUUAAUAAAUGAGAUUUAGACAGCAACAAAAUAAUGAUGUGCUCUCUAGCU